rnacentral:rRNA from 1 species
GAUGAACGCUGGCGGCGUGCCUAAUACAUGCAAGUCGAGCGAACAGAUAAGGAGCUUGCUCCUUUGACGUUAGCGGCGGACGGGUGAGUAACACGUGGGUAACCUACCUAUAAGACUGGAAUAACUCCGGGAAACCGGGGCUAAUGCCGGAUAACAUGUUGAACCGCAUGGUUCUACAGUGAAAGGCGGCUUUGCUGUCACUUAUAGAUGGACCCGCGCCGUAUUAGCUAGUUGGUGAGGUAACGGCUCACCAAGGCAACGAUACGUAGCCGACCUGAGAGGGUGAUCGGCCACACUGGAACUGAGACACGGUCCAGACUCCUACGGGAGGCAGCAGUAGGGAAUCUUCCGCAAUGGGCGAAAGCCUGACGGAGCAACGCCGCGUGAGUGAUGAAGGUCUUCGGAUCGUAAAACUCUGUUAUUAGGGAAGAACAAAUGCGUAAGUAACUGUGCGCGUCUUGACGGUACCUAAUCAGAAAGCCACGGCUAACUGCGUG